UACGAAGGGGGCAAGCGUUGUCCGGAUUUACUGGGCGUAAAGAGCGCGCAGGCGGUCGUUCAAGUCGCGUGUGAAAGCCCCCGGCUCAACUGGGGAGGGUCACGCGAUACUGAUCGACUCGAAGGCAGGAGAGGGUAGUGGAAUUCCCGGUGUAGUGGUGAAAUGCGCAGAUAUCGGGAGGAACACCUAUGGCGAAGGCAGCUCGCUGGGACGUUACUGACGCUGAGACGCGAAAGCGUGGGGAGCAAACAGG
rnacentral:rRNA from 1 species